AACCCAGACCGCCAGCUAAGGUCCCAAAGUCAUGGUUAAGUGGGAAACGAUGUGGGAAGGCCCAGACAGCCAGGAUGUUGGCUUAGAAGCAGCCAUCAUUUAAAGAAAGCGUAAUAGCUCACUGGUCGAGUCGGCCUGCGCGGAAGAUGUAACGGGGCUAAACCAUGCACCGAAGCUGCGGCAGCGACACCGUGUGUUGUUGGGUAGGGGAGCGUUCUGUAAGCCUGUGAAGGUGUGCUGUGAGGCAUGCUGGAGGUAUCAGAAGUGCGAAUGCUGACAUAAGUAACGAUAAAGCGGGUGAAAAGCCCGCUCGCCGGAAGACCAAGGGUUCCUGUCCAACGUUAAUCGGGGCAGGGUGAGUCGACCCCUAAGGCGAGGCCGAAAGGCGUAGUCGAUGGGAAACGGGUUAAUAUUCCCGUACUUGGUGUUACUGCGAAGGGGGGACGGAGAAGGCUAUGUUGGCCGGGCGACGGUUGUCCCGGUUUAAGCGUGUAGGUAUGUGUUCCAGGUAAAUCCGGUUCACUUUAACACUGAGGCGUGACGACGAGGCACUACGGUGCUGAAGCAACAAAUGCCCUGCUUCCAGGAAAAGCCUCUAAGCAUCAGGUAACAUCAAAUCGUACCCCAAACCGACACAGGUGGUCAGGUAGAGAAUACCAAGGCGCUUGAGAGAACUCGGGUGAAGGAACUAGGCAAAAUGGUGCCGUAACUUCGGGAGAAGGCACGCUGACACGUAGGUGAAGUGAUUUACUCACGGAGCUGAAGUCAGCCGAAGAUACCAGCUGGCUGCAACUGUUUAUUAAAAACACAGCACUGUGCAAACACGAAAGUGGACGUAUACGGUGUGACGCCUGCCCGGUGCCGGAAGGUUAAUUGAUGGGGUCAGCGCAAGCGAAGCUCCUGAUCGAAGCCCCGGUAAACGGCGGCCGUAACUAUAACGGUCCUAAGGUAGCGAAAUUCCUUGUCGGGUAAGUUCCGACCUGCACGAAUGGCGUAAUGAUGGCCAGGCUGUCUCCACCCGAGACUCAGUGAAAUUGAACUCGCUGUGAAGAUGCAGUGUACCCGCGGCAAGACGGAAAGACCCCGUGAACCUUUACUAUAGCUUGACACUGAACAUUGAGCCUUGAUGUGUAGGAUAGGUGGGAGGCUUUGAAGUGUGGACGCCAGUCUGCAUGGAGCCGACCUUGAAAUACCACCCUUUAAUGUUUGAUGUUCUAACGUGGACCCGUGAUCCGGGUUGCGGACAGUGUCUGGUGGGUAGUUUGACUGGGGCGGUCUCCUCCUAAAGAGUAACGGAGGAGCACGAAGGUUGGCUAAUCCUGGUCGGACAUCAGGAGGUUAGUGCAAUGGCAUAAGCCAGCUUGACUGCGAGCGUGACGGCGCGAGCAGGUGCGAAAGCAGGUCAUAGUGAUCCGGUGGUUCUGAAUGGAAGGGCCAUCGCUCAACGGAUAAAAGGUACUCCGGGGAUAACAGGCUGAUACCGCCCAAGAGUUCAUAUCGACGGCGGUGUUUGGCACCUCGAUGUCGGCUCAUCACAUCCUGGGGCUGAAGUAGGUCCCAAGGGUAUGGCUGUUCGCCAUUUAAAGUGGUACGCGAGCUGGGUUUAGAACGUCGUGAGACAGUUCGGUCCCUAUCUGCCGUGGGCGCUGGAGAACUGAGGGGGGCUGCUCCUAGUACGAGAGGACCGGAGUGGACGCAUCACUGGUGUUCGGGUUGUCAUGCCAAUGGCACUGCCCGGUAGCUAAAUGCGGAAGAGAUAAGUGCUGAAAGCAUCUAAGCACGAAACUUGCCCCGAGAUGAGUUCUCCCUGAGACUUUAGGUCUCCUGAAGGAACGUUGAAGACGACGACGUUGAUAGGCCGGGUGUGUAAGCGCAGCGAUGCGUUGAGCUAACCGGUACUAAUGAACCGUGAGGCUUAACCUUACAACGCCGAAG
rnacentral:rRNA from 2 species